CUGGACAGGAAAAGGUUCGCUCAAAAUCUAUUUUUGAGAGGAAAGUCUGAACUCUUUGGGGAAGGCAGUAGCUAAUGGCUAUUGGAGGGAAACCUCAUGGAAAGUGCCACAGAAAAAAAACAGCCAAUUAAUAGGCUAAGGUGAAAAUGUAAGGUAAAAGCUUACAGAACAAAAUUAUUGUUAAUGGUAAACCCUGCCUUGAGCAAGUGUUGCAUGGAUAAAAAGCCCCCUUCUUUUCCAUGUUUUAACGCAAAAGCUGUAAAGUGAUUUUUAGCUAAGAGAAAUGAACCUAAAAACAGAAUUCAGCUUAUUCCUGUCCAGUAUU
rnacentral:RNase_P_RNA from 1 species